rnacentral:rRNA from 1 species
UUUAUGGAGAGUUUGAUCCUGGCUCAGGAUGAACGCUGGCGGCGUGCCUAAUACAUGCAAGUCGAGCGAACGGACGAGAAGCUUGCUUCUCUGAUGUUAGCGGCGGACGGGUGAGUAACACGUGGAUAACCUACCUAUAAGACUGGGAUAACUUCGGGAAACCGGAGCUAAUACCGGAUGAUAUUUUGAACCGCAUGGUUCAAAAGUGAAAGACGGUCUUGCUGUCACUUAU